GCCAUGAGGCAGACUCUGCUCACUUGCUCAGGCCGCAUGCCGGCUGUGGUGGAUUUGUCCUUCAGCAGCAUCCCGCCUAAAGGCUGCUUUCUGAUCAGUGCUUGCAAAGAUGGCCAACCUAUGCUCCACCAGGGAGAUACAGGAGACUAGAUUGGAACAUUUUUUGGGUCAUAAAGGUGCUGUUUGGGGUACAACAUUGACUAAUAAAGAUGCCACCAAAACUGCUACAGCAGCUGCAGACAUCACAGUGUGUGAUGCUGUCUCAGGAGAUGAAUGGAUGACCCUGGCUCAUCAGCACAUUGUCAAGACUGUGAAGUUCACACAGGAUAGCAGUUACCUGCUGACUGGGCACAGGAUAAACUGUUGCACAUACACGACUUGAAAAACCUGAAGCAGAACCUAAGGAAAUUAAUGCUCACACUUCCGGUAUUAAAAAGGCUCUGUGGUGCAGUGAAGAUAAAUAGUUCCUUUCAGCUGAUGAUAAAACUGUUUGGCUCUGGCAUCAUACCACAGUGACAGAAGUGAAAUCUUAAAAUGUAAUAUGUCUUUAGCAGCACAAAAUAUAUUCCUGAGGGAGAGAUCUUGGUUAUUGCUUUUCAAUGUGCAGUAAUUAUUAAUUGUCCGGAGCCAAUUAAAUCCUUUGAAGCUCCUGCGACCAUCAAUUCUGCAUCUCUUCAUCCAGAGAAGGAACUUUUUUGUUGCAGGUGGAGAAGCUUUAAACUGUAUAAGUACUUCUAUAAUGGUGGAGAAGAAUUAGAAUCCUACAAAGGUCACAUUGGUCUCAUUCAGUGUGAGAUUCAGUCCUGAUGGUGAACUCUAUGCCACUGGUCCUGAAGAUGGGACACCGAGAUUGUGGCAAACUGUGGUAGAAAAGACCUAUGGCCUGUGGAAAUGUGUACUUCCUGAGGAAGACAGU
rnacentral:lncRNA from 1 species